UUUUAUGCUUGCUCAGUACUCAUAUUUACAUAGAUCUUUUUCCAAAUAUUAGUUAAGAUUAAUUAAGUAAUGACGACUUCAAAAGUUAUACUUCUGGUUCUUCACAGAACUAACCACAGAAUCAUAAUAACAGAACACGUUG